rnacentral:rRNA from 1 species
CCCAGACUCCUACGGGAGGCAGCAGUGGGGAAUAUUGCACAAUGGGGGAAACCCUGAUGCAGCGACGCCGCGUGAGCGAUGAAGUAUUUCGGUAUGUAAAGCUCUAUCAGCAGGGAAGAAGAUGACGGUACCUGACUAAGAAGCCCCGGCUAACUACGUGCCAGCAGCCGCGGUAAUACGUAGGGGGCAAGCGUUAUCCGGAUUUACUGGGUGUAAAGGGAGCGUAGACGGCGGCGCAAGCCAGAUGUGAAAGCCCGGGGCCCAACCCCGGGACUGCUCUGGAAACUGCGUCGCUGGAGUACGGGAGGGGCAGGCGGAAUUCCUGGUGUAGCGGUGAAAUGCGUAGAUAUCAGGAGGAACACCGGCGGCGAAGGCGGCCUGCUGGACCGCGACUGACGUUGAGGCUCGAAAGCGUGGGGAGCGAACAGGAUUAGAUACCCAGGUGCGA